GACGAACGCUGGCGGCGUGCCUAAUACAUGCAAGUAGAACGCUGAAGGAAGGAGCUUGCUCUUUCUGGAUGAGUUGCGAACGGGUGAGUAACGCGUAGGUAACCUGCCUGGUAGCGGGGGAUAACUAUUGGAAACGAUAGCUAAUACCGCAUAAAAUUGAUUAUUGCAUGAUAGUCAAUUAAAAGGUGCAACUGCACCACUACCAGAUGGACCUGCGUUGUAUUAGCUAGUUGGUGGGGUAACGGCUCACCAAGGCGACGAUACAUAGCCGACCUGAGAGGGUGAUCGGCCACACUGGGACUGAGACACGGCCCAGACUCCUACGGGAGGCAGCAGUAGGGAAUCUUCGGCAAUGGACGGAAGUCUGACCGAGCAACGCCGCGGGAGUGAAGAAGGUUUUCGGAUCGUAAAGCUCUGUUGUAAGAGAAGAACGAGUGUGAGAGUGGAAAGUUCACACUGUGACGGUAGCUUACCAGAAAGGGACGGCUAACUACGUG
rnacentral:rRNA from 1 species